AUAGGUACAGUAUUAGUAGGACCUACACCUGUCAACAUAAUUGGAAGAAAUCUGUUGACUCAGAUUGGUUGCACUUUAAAUUUUCCCAUUAGCCCUAUUGAGACUGUACCAGU
rfam:Human immunodeficiency virus type 1 (HXB2), complete genome; HIV1/HTLV-III/LAV reference genome.